AAUUUUGGACAAUGGGGGAAACCCUGAUCCAGCCAUCCCGCGUGUAUGAUGAAGGCCUCCGGGUGGUAAAGUACUUUUGGCAGAGAAGAAAAGGUAUCUCCUAAUACGAGAUACUGCUGACGGUAUCUGCAGAAUAAGCACCGGCGAACUACGUGACAGCAGCCGCGGUCAUACGUAAGGUGCAAGAGAUAAUCGGAAUUACUGGGCGUAAAGCGUGUGUAGGCGGUUCGGAAAGAAAGGUGUGAAAUCCCAGAGCUCAACCUUGGACCUGCAUUUUUAACUGCCGAGCUAGAGUAUGUCAGAGGGGGGUAGAAUUCCACGUGUAGCAGUGAAAUGCGUAGAUAUGUGGAGGAAUACUGAUGGCGAAGGCAGCCCCCUGGGAUAAUACUGACGCUCAGACACGAAAGCGUGGGGAGCAAACA
rnacentral:rRNA from 1 species